CCGUGAUGGUUCCACCUGUCGCUGCCGUACCGUACCUGCCUCCGCGAUCUUUCAGCCGAUCGUCUUUCGCUGCUCCGGCGAAGCUUGUUUCAGUCAAGCAGAAAGGAACUUGCAGAGGAUAUAGAGUCCCUGAAGAAGAAAAUUGCGGGAGAGGCUUCUGUAUCCUUAUCCUGUAAUACAUUCUCUCUGUUCUCUUGUUCAUAUCUGAAAACUCUCUAAAUGUAUUCGAGACGAACAAACCCAGAGAUAGUUCCAGAAAAUAUAAUUGAAUUUUCCA